rfam:Pluralibacter gergoviae strain JS81F13 contig_10, whole genome shotgun sequence.
CCUGGCGGCAGUAGCGCGGUGGUCCCACCUGACCCCAUGCCGAACUCAGAAGUGAAACGCCGUAGCGCCGAUGGUAGUGUGGGGUCUCCCCAUGUGAGAGUAGGGAACUGCCAGGC